GGCCUGGCUUAAAAUGCAUUUCAUGGUCAGUGGAAAAAAAUGAGGAAGAGGAGGGUGUGGCUGCUGCUUAGAGAAUCUGGCUGUGCAGGCAGGGACUGUCUUUGGGGUUGUGAUCCUUCAACCUCACAGAAGGAAGACUUCUCUUAGCCUCCCAUUGUUGUCGCUGGGAGCUGGCAGCAGCUGUGGCAGGGGGAGCGUGCGGAGGAGCCGCCAACCGCCCGCUAGUGUCUCAGCCUGGAUGUAGUCUGGAUGCGUGAAAUACACAGCAGCAGAACUUGAGUUUUCAAGUGAAAUAGCUCUUCCUUGUCUGAAAAAUUCUUUAAAAUGCAGGAUUAGAUGUUUCCUACCACAUCAUCUGCAGGACUCCCAGAAAAUUCUUCUGCAAUUUGUGGCUGCCUGGAAAAAGAUGUAGUAGUAGUCUGGCAAAAUGAACUCAAGAUGCACAAGGAGAAGACACUAGAGACUGAUGUGCAAGGUGUUCAGGUAUUUAUGAUUUCAUUAUGUAUACCAGUAAUUGUUGUAUGAUGUAAGGUACUCUGUAGUUUAUGCAUUUACAGGCCUGAGGGCAAAUAUUUGUGUUAACUCACAAAAGGCGAUGAUAAAACAAUAUAAAAUAAAUGGAAAAGUCAUAAGAAGCA
rnacentral:lncRNA from 1 species